UCUCACAAAAUUCAGCUCAUUUUGAUAGGUUACGAAAUUAAUUUUUUUUCACCUUCCGUAAUACCAUCGCUCUAAGGUAAAUUUGUUUUUUGAGGGUGCAAAUAUUACGUAGAUUGUAGACUUUCGCGAAUUUUCCAACGAGUUUGAAAACACAGACAAGAUUGCACACCAGUACCUUGUAUCGUAGCAUGCGAACGAUAUUUUUAUGCAUGAUUCAAAAAACCAACAAGAAUGAGUAAUUUUGCACUUGUACCUGCUUCGAAUUUCGAUUUAUUUGAAAAUUAUUUGCUUUAUGCGUGAAUAUUGGAAACAUAAGAUUAUGAUUUAGGUAAAUCGUGUCAAAUUUGUGUGUACACAAGUGUUAUAGGUACCGCAAAUACAUCGUGAUUAAACACCAACGUAGCUACAGCCUACACACUUUUGUGUUUACACAUUUUUCAAAAUAUAUAUAAAUGAAAGAACCAAUAACUUGUAAAACAGUAUCACUUUGAAGUUUGUCAUUUCUUGUACUUAGAAAAAACCAUUUGGUAUCCGAGUGAUAAUAUCCAAUUUUUGAAAACCGUAUCACUUUACUACACGAUUACAUCAAAUUAUUGUGAUUCUAAAUUUCCAGAGCACCGCAGCGAUGUCAGCACGAUUUUCAGUAGCCAUUUUCUUUGUUAUGCAAAUGUUAUUCAUUUUGGAUAAUUCGGAUGCUUUCAAUAUAACUGCGCAACAAUUCGAAAACGUCUGGAAGUGCGCAGAUAUCUGCAAAAUGGAAUCAGGCGCGUAUAAGUAUAAAAUUGACGAUGUCUGCGCCCUGCUGAUGGAGUAUAAUUAUGUAACUGCAAAUGCAAUGUAUACUGAAGAACAGAUAAGAGAACUCAGUGCAUGUGGAGAGCACAAUGUACAGCUGCAAAAUGGAACCAAAAAAUAUACUGUUCUCUUGUGUACGUUGAGCGGUCAGGUCACUGGUAAAAUAUGUGUCACCCAAGGUAAAAUAACUAGGAAUAUUUUCACGUAUAAUUACGACGCAGCGAAAGAUACUUGUUUUCCGCUUGAAGAGAAACCGGGAGUUGCUUGAGCAUGUUUUAGGUGAAAAAAGAUGUGCGGUUUAUUGAGGUAUAGUGCAGAUAUCUGCAAAAAGGAAUCAGGCUCGUAUAAGUAUCACAUUGAGGAUGUUUGUGUCCUGCUGAUGGGCUAUAAUUAUGUAACUGCAAAUGCAAUGCAUGCUGAAGCACGGAUAAGAGAACUCAGUUUAUGUGGAGAUCACAAUGUAAAGCUGAAGGAUGGAACCAAAAAAUAUACUGUCCUCUUGUGUACCUUGAGCGGCCAGGUCACUGGUAAAAUAUGUGUUACCAAAGGUAAAAGAACUAAAGAUAUUUUCGUCUAUAAUUAUGACCAAGACUCGGAUACUUGUACUCCGUUUGACGAGAAAACGGGAGUUGCCUGAGUUAAUUUUAGGUGGAUAAGGAUGAGUGAGGUGAGUAUAUUAUUAUUCUUGUUGUGUUUUAGAUAAGUUUUAUUCAUUAUUAUUAAGUAAUUUUUUGAAAAAUAGGUGAUUGGGUUUAAUUUAUUAUUAUUAAGUAAUUAAAAAAAAAAAGUAGGUGCAUGGUUGGGUCUGUGUAGUUGAAGCUAGCUACUAGAUUGGUAUUUCUGCCAGAUUUAUUGAGUGUGACUUGUGAGUCGUGGUCUGUAAAAUUAUCAUUAAGUAAUAUAAGUCAUCUAUUUUAUAAGUUGGUAAGUUAGGAUUUUAUCAAUGAAUAUGAUUAUUGAUUUAAAUUAGGUAAGUAAAAUAUUCAUUAUUCUUCAGAGAAAAAAAUGAAAAUUGGGUGGUAGGAUAAUAUAGUAAAAUGCUACCCGAUAUCUAAUAUUUUUAUGUAAGUAUGUAGGUAUCUCAAUAUUUAUGAAACAUUACAGAGGUACGUAUAGGUAUGCAUAACUAGUCUACUCAGUUGUAAAGUAGGUACCUACCUAUUUUUAAUUUUUCAUUAAGUAAUUCAAAUUUAAAGUUACGCUUACGCAUCUACUAGCUCUAGAUUUACCUGCAUAUCAUUAACAUUUAAUUUCAAAACAACGAUUGUCACCCUUUUUAUUUUGUUUCUGGAAUCAUUAUACGCAUUAAACAAUUUGCAAUCAA